rnacentral:rRNA from 1 species
AACGAACGCUGGCGGCAGGCCUAACACAUGCAAGUCGAGCGCCUCGCAAGGGGAGCGGCAGACGGGUGAGUAACGCGUGGGAACGUGCCCUUCGGUUCGGAAUAACUCAGGGAAACUUGAGCUAAUACCGGAUACGUGCGUAAGCAGAAAGAUUUAUCGCCGAAGGAGCGGCCCGCGUCCGAUUAGCUAGUUGGUGAGGUAACGGCUCACCAAGGCGACGAUCGGUAGCUGGUCUGAGAGGAUGAUCAGCCACACUGGGACUGAGACACGGCCCAGACUCCUACGGGAGGCAGCAGUGGGGAAUAUUGGACAAUGGGCGCAAGCCUGAUCCAGCCAUGCCGCGUGAGUGAUGAAGGCCCUAGGGCUGUAAAGCUCUUUCGCCAGGGACGAUAAUGACGGUACCUGGAUAAGAAGCCCCGGCCAACUUCGUGCCAGCCGCCGCCGUAAUAC